GUCCCUUGCACGGCGAUUCGGCGCUACCUAGAUAGCGAGAUAGCCCGGACAGGCGAACGGAUUUGCCGACGCGCCAGCUGCGGAAACGAGUAGUGAGAAUUAUUUUUCGCGUUUGCGUUUCUGCAGUUGACGAAAUUGGUAGAUUAUUUUAGUUUGCCAC
rnacentral:sRNA from 1 species